rnacentral:lncRNA from 1 species
GCAGGGGCAGGAGGCUGAAUCUUGGGGACCACUUGGGUGCAGGAGGGUGGAAGGGGAGGAGCCUGACCAGCAUUUGCAAGAUCCUGGCGCUCUAGUUCCUAAGGAUGGGCCACCAUGUUCAAUUCUCCCUUUAGGCUGUGGAGGUGGGUCCACUUCUAGGCUGGGAGUGGGGAGAGAGAAUGAAAUGAAAGAAACAGAGACUAGGAGACAGAGACAAAAGAAAUCAUACAAAGCCAGGGCAGGAAAAAGGAUAUGCUUGUUUUCCAGAGAAAUCAUUUCACCUUUACAGCCUUGGAAGACAGUGGAGAGAUAUGGGUAGGCCCUAGACUCAGCUGGCUUCAAGGAUAUGUGAAGUGCAGAUUGAGAGGAUAAUGUCACCUUUUACAGAGCCUGGAUUUUGUCUGUUUUGCUUACUGCUGUAUCCCCAGAACCCAGAACAGUACCUGCCACAUAGUAGGAGC